UACAGAGGGGGCAAGCGUUGUUCGGAAUUACUGGGCGUAAAGGGCGCGUAGGCGGCCUGUUAAGUCGAACGUGAAAUCCCCGGGCUCAACCCGGGAACUGCGUCCGAUACUGGCAGGCUUGCAUCCGGGAGAGGGAUGCGGAAUUCCAGGUGUAGCGGUGAAAUGCGUAGAUAUCUGGAGGAACACCGGUGGCGAAGGCGGCAUCCUGGACCGGUAUGACGCUGAUGCGCGAAAGCCAGGGGAGCAAACGGGAUUAGAGUACCC
rnacentral:rRNA from 1 species